rnacentral:ncRNA from 1 species
AAAAAAACAAAGAACAGAAGAGUAGCUUUAUUAUUAGUUUUAGAGAGCCUUUGGUUGGUGAGAAGAGGUCUAAUUAUUUAGUGAAACACAUCUGGGAGUUGAUUUUCUGAAGGAACUAGUAGGAAAAUUCGGGUAAGCCCGUUAUAGCAGUUGAAGUUACAGACUUCAUGAGGUUAUUGUUGCAAAGCAAUAACAAAUAAAGGUGGAACCACGAUUCUUUCGUCCUUUGG